rnacentral:pre_miRNA from 1 species
UAGUUACUCCCUCCGAUCCAUAUUAAUUGUCUCAAAUUUGUCCAAAUAUGGAUGUAUCUAUGUUUAAAAAGUGUCUAGAUACAUGUAAUAUUUUAACAAUUAAUAUGGAUCGGAGGGAGUACUAG